GACGAACGCUGGCGGCGUGCUUAACACAUGCAAGUCGAACGGAAAGGCCCUGCCUUUGUGGGGUGCUCGAGUGGCGUACGGGUGAGUAACCCGUGAGUAACCUGCCCUUGACUUUGGGAUAACUUCAGGAAACUGAGGCUAAUACCGGAUAGGAGCUCCUGCUGCAUGGUGGGCGUUGGAAAGUUUCGGCGGUUGGGGAUGGACUCGCGGCUUAUCAGCUUGUUGGUGGGGUAGUGGCUUACCAAGCCCUUGACGCGUAGCAGGCCUGAGCGGGUGAGCGGCCCAGCUGCGCCUGAGAUAAGACACAGCCUCGUCUGGGACGCGGGAGUGGGGAAUAUUGUAUUAUGGGCGGAGGCAUAAUGCAGCCAAGCCGCGCGGGGGAUGAGGGCCUUCGGGUUGUAAACCGAUUUCGUCUGUGCCGAGGCGUGAGUGACGGUACUGGGUAAAGAAGCACCGGCUAACUACGUG
rnacentral:rRNA from 1 species